CGGGUGAGUAACGCGUGAGGAACCUGCCUCAAAGAGGGGGACAACAGUUGGGAACGACUGCUAAUACCGCAUAAGCCCACAGCUCGGCAUCGAGCAGAGGGAAAAGGAGCAAUCCGCUUUGAGAUGGCCUCGCGUCCGAUUAGCUAGUUGGUGAGGUAACGGCCCACCAAGGCGACGAUCGGUAGCCGGACUGAGAGGUUGAACGGCCACAUUGGGACUGAGACACGGCCCAG
rnacentral:rRNA from 1 species